rnacentral:rRNA from 1 species
AUAGGUUAAUGAGGCGAACCGGGGGAACUGAAACAUCUAAGUACCCCGAGGAAAAGAAAUCAACCGAGAUUCCCCCAGUAGCGGCGAGCGAACGGGGAGCAGCCCAGAGCCUGAAUCAGUGUGUGUGUUAGUGGAAGCGUCUGGAAAGGCGUGCGAUACAGGGUGACAGCCCCGUACACAAAAAUGCACAUAUUGUGAGCUCGAUGAGUAGGGCGGGACACGUGGUAUCCUGUCUGAAUAUGGGGGGACCAUCCUCCAAGGCUAAAUACUCCUGACUGACCGAUAGUGAACCAGUACCGUGAGGGAAAGGCGAAAAGAACCCCGGCGAGGGGAGUGAAAAAGAACCUGAAACCGUGUACGUACAAGCAGUGGGAGCACGCUUAGGCGUGUGACUGCGUACCUUUUGUAUAAUGGGUCAGCGACUUAUAUUCUGUAGCAAGGUUAACCGAAUAGGGGAGCCGAAGGGAAACCGAGUCUUAACUGGGCGUUAAGUUGCAGGGUAUAGACCCGA